ensembl:ncRNA B0034.12 ncRNA
ACUUCCCCCAGCACUCAAUAUUUCAUUUUCUGAUAAUCGGAUGUGAAGAGGAGAUUAGAUGGUAUGAGUAGGAGGAGCAGAUGCUGACUCUCGUGCUCUACUUUCUCAGCUUCAACAAGGCUCACAUUCCGUUCCAGCCA